rnacentral:lncRNA from 1 species
CGCCGGGCACGUCGGGUGCUAUCGUCGUUCUCCUCCUCGCCUUGGACGACGUCAAUCCGCGUCAGAGCUUUCUCCAAUGACCAGUCGAAAGAGGUCGUCAAGCUUCUGGAGAAGCAGUCGACGUCCACCGUCGAUGAGCUCCACCAUCAACCUCGUCCCAAAUCCAAUCGAUUCUGGAGCUUCAAGGUCCGGCCAUUUGCACCUGCAAUUUCACAGUUCCGGCCGGCCGAUCAGACAGCAAAUAGUGCGCCGGUGCCUCCGUCCCUGGUCCUUCAGAUCCGG